ACCCGCUGAAUUUAAGCAUAUCAAUAAGCGGAGGAAAAGAAACCAACAGGGAUUGCCUUAGUAACGGCGAGUGAAGCGGCAAAAGCUCAAAUUUGAAAUCGGCCCCCAGGUCGAGUUGUAAUUUGUAGAUUGUAUCUUGAGAGCGGAUUAAAGUCUGUUGGAACACAGCGCCUUAGAGGGUGACAGCCCCGUAAAAUCUAUUCUCAUUGUAAGAUACUUUCGAAGAGUCGAGUUGUUUGGGAAUGCAGCUCUAAGUGGGAGGUAAAUUCCUUCUAAAGCUAAAUAUUGACGAGAGACCGAUAGCGAACAAGUACUGUGAAGGAAAGGUGAGAAGCACUUUGAAAAGAGAGUGAAAAAGUACGUGAAAUUGUUAAAAGGGAAGGGUAUUGAAUCAGACUUGGUGCUGUUGUUCAACUGUGUUUUGGCACAGUGUACUCAGCAGUACUAGGCCAAGGUGGGGUGUUUGGGAGUGAAAAAGAAGUUGGAACGUAACUUUUCGGAGUGUUAUAGCCUACUUUCAUAGCUCCUCAGGCGCCUCAGGACUGCGCUUCGGCAAGGACCUUGGCAUAAUGAUUCUAUACCGCCCGUCUUGAAACACGGACCAAGGAG
rnacentral:rRNA from 1 species